UGGCGGCAUGCCUAACACAUGCAAGUCGAACGGCUCUUCGGAGCAGUGGCGCACGGGUGAGUAACGCGUGGGAACCUACCCUGAGGUUCGGAAUAACGGUUGGAAACGACCGCUAAUACCGGAUGUGUCCUAUGGGGGCAAAGGUUUUGCCGCCUUGGGAGGGGCCCGCGUCCCGAUUAGCUAGUUGGUGAGGUAAUGGCUCACCAAGGCGACGAUCGGUAGCUGGUCUGAGAGGAUGAUCAGCCACACUGGGACUGAGACACGGCCCAGACUCC
rnacentral:rRNA from 1 species